rnacentral:rRNA from 1 species
UCAAAGGAAUUGACGGGGGCCCGCACAAGCGGUGGAGUAUGUGGUUUAAUUCGAUGCAACGCGAAGAACCUUACCAGGGAUUGACAUCCUACGAACUUUCGUGAAAGCGAUUGGUGCCUUCGGGAACGUAGAGACAGGUGGUGCAUGGCUGUCGUCAGCUCGUGUCGUGAGAUGUUGGGUUAAGUCCCGCAACGAGCGCAACCCUCGUCCUUAGUUGCCAUCAUUAAGUUGGGCACUUUAAGGAGACUGCCGGUGACAAACCGGAGGAAGGUGGGGAUGACGUCAAGUCAUCAUGCCCCUUACAUCCUGGGCUACACACGUACUACAAUGCAACGGACAAAGGGCAGCCAACUAGCGAUAGUGCGCAAAUCCCAUAAACCGUUGCUCAGUUCAGAUUGCAGGCUGCAACUCGCCUGCAUGAAGGCGGAAUCGCUAGUAAUCGCAGGUCAGCAUACUGCGGUGAAUACGUUCCCGGGCCUUGUACACACCGCCCGUCACACCAUGGAAGUUGGCCACGCCCGAAGUCGUUACCCCAACCGUUUACGGAGGGGGACGCCGAAGGCAGGGCUGAUGACUGGGGUGAAGUCGUAACAAGGUAACC